GUGCUUCUAUGCUGACUUCUAAUGAUCAAAUUUCCCCCUUCUUGAGUUCAUGAAAAAUAUGAAAGUUCAAGGAGUCACUGAUGAAACUCCAAAUAAAGCCAGAGAAGAAAGAUUUAAAAAUUCUCCAACACUUCCUACAGUAAAAUAUGAACCAAAGGUCAUCAGCUGCAAAUAAGGAAGGCAUAGAAAGUGGUAUUGAAAGUUUAAGGAGAGAAAGAGAUGGUGGCAGCAUUGAAUAUCUCAGUAAAAAGACCAUGGCACUCCAACAAGGACAUGGAGGAGUGUAACCUCAGGCACAUCAUUCCAUAUUCAGAUUCUCAUGUUCUUUAUCUGUACAGUCCAGAUGAUAUUUCCUACCAGGCAGGUGAUUGUCCAUAUCAAAUUAGACAACAUGCUUGUCAGG